AUUACCCAAUCCUAACUCAGGGAGGUAGUGACAAGAAAUAACAACGCGGGGCUCUGUCUCGCGAUUGGAAUGAGAACAAUGUAAAAGCCUUAACGAGGAUCCACUGGAGGGCAAGUCUGGUGCCAGCAGCCGCGGUAAUACCAGCUCCAGUAGCGUAUAUUAAAGUUGUUGCAGUUAAAAAGCUCGUAGUUGAAAUUCUGUACGGAACGACGUCUUCGGAUGAUCGAGCCGUGCAUCCGCCUGAGCAGCAGGUCGGUACUUUGUUGCCGGUUUGUGAUCAGGCACUUUACCUUGAGCAAAUUAGAGGUUCCAGGCAGGCGUCAGCCUGAAUAGUCCAGCAUGGAAUAAUAGAAGAGGACUGAAAACCACUGUUGGUGUUGUGGUAAUCAGUAAUGAUUAAUAGGGAUAGUUGGGGGCAUUCGUAUUUAAUUGUCAGAGGUGAAAUUCUAUGAUUUAUUAAAGACGAACCUAUGCGAAAGCAUUUGCCAAGGAUGUUUUCAUUAAUCAAGAACGAAAGUUAAGGGAUCAAAGACGAUCAGAUACCGUCGUAGUCUUAACCAUAAACUAUGCCGACUAGAGAUUGGAGGUGCAACUCCAAGACUCCUUCAGCAUCUUACGAGAAAUCAAAGUCUUUGUGUUCUGGGGGGAGUAUGGUCGCAAGACUGAAACUUAAAGGAAUUGACGGAAGGGCACCACCAGGUGUGGAGCCUGCGGCUUAAUUUGACCCAACACGGGGAAACUUACCAGGUCCAGACAUAGCGAGGAUUGACAGACUGACAGCUCUUUCUUGAUUCUAUGGGUGGUGGUGCAUGGCCGUUCUUAGUUGGUGGAGUGAUUUGUCUGGUUAAUUCCGAUAACGAUCGAGACCUCAGCCUGCUAAAUAGUCAGAGUCCGAUUGGGCUUGUGACUUCUUAGAGGGACUGUGGGGGCUACUCCACGGAAGUUUGAGGCAAUAACAGGUCUGUGAUGCCCUUAGAUGUCCUGGGCCGCACGCGCGCUACACUGAUGCAGGCAGCAAGCACCGUGGCAGAAAUGUCUCGGAAAACUACAAACUGCAUCGUGCUGGGGAUUGACUCUUGGAAUUCUUGGUCAUAAACGAGGAAUACCUAGUAAACGCAAGUCAUCAGCUUGCAUUGAUUACGUCCCUGCCCUUUGUACACACCGCCCGUCGCUCCUACCGAUUUGAGUGGUGCGGUGAACCCUUCGGACCGGUACGCCGGAAAGUUGAGUAAACCUUACCACUUAGAGGAAGGAGAAGUCGUAACAAGGUA
rnacentral:rRNA from 1 species